rnacentral:tRNA from 1 species
GCCCGGGUGGUGGAAUUGGUAGACACAAGGGACUUAAAAUCCCUCGGCUUUUAGUUGUACGAGUUCGAGUCUCGUCCCGGGUA